GACGAACGCUGGCGGCGUGCCUAAUACAUGCAAGUCGAACGCUGAAGAGAGGAGCUUGCUCUUCUUGGAUGAGUUGCGAACGGGUGAGUAACGCGUAGGUAACCUGCCUUGUAGCGGGGGAUAACUAUUGGAAACGAUAGCUAAUACCGCAUAACAAUGUAUGACACAUGUCUUUUAUUUGAAAGGGGCAAUUGCUCCACUACAAGAUGGACCUGCGUUGUCUUAGCCAGUAGGUGAGGUAAUGGCCCACCUAGGCGACCAUACAUAGCCGACCUGGGAGGGUGGACGGCCACACCUGGAACUGAAAACGGGCCAGACUCCUAAGGGAGGCAGCAGGAGGGAAACUUCGGGCAUGGGGGCAAACCUGACCGGGGAAAGCCGCGGGAGUGAAGAAGGGUUUCGGAUCGGAAAGAUCUGUUGUAAGUGAAGAACGGGUGUUGGAGUGGAAAGUGCACACUGUGACGGUAGCUUACCAGAAAGAGACGGCUAACUACGUG
rnacentral:rRNA from 1 species